rnacentral:rRNA from 1 species
UACGAAGGGGACUAGCGUUGUUCGGAAUCACUGGGCGUAAAGCGCACGUAGGCGGAUAUGUCAGUCAGGGGUGAAAGCCCCGGGCUCAACCUGGGAAUGGCAGUGGAUACUGGCAAGCUAGAGUGCGGUAGAGGGGUGUGGAAUUCCCGGUGUAGCGGUGAAAUGCGUAGAGAUCGGGAGGAACACCAGUGGCGAAGGCGGCACCCUGGACCAGCACUGACACUGAGGCACGAAAGCAUGGGGAGCAAACAGG